rnacentral:lncRNA from 1 species
AACACAACCACAGUUAGAAACACAACCCAAAGCAAACAUAUUCAUUUUGUCAACGAGAUCAGGUAGUCUAGGAUUAAAUCUACAAUCUGCUGACACAGUCAUAAUUUUCGAUAGUGAUUUUAAUCCACAUCAAGAUAUACAAGCUAUGUGUAGAUGCCAUAGAUUAGGUCAAAAUAACGUAGUAAAAGUUUUUCGGUUUAUAACCUUAUCGGGUGUUGAAAAUUUUAUUUUUAAGAGAGCACAAGAAAAAUUAAGUAUGAACGAUAAAGUAAUUCAAGCAGGAUUAUUCAACAAAAUGCAUAACGAUGAAGAUAGACAAAACAAAUUAAAAUAUAUUUUACAAAAAAAACAAAAUAUGGAUAAUUAUGUAACUACUGAACCAACAAAUCCAAUAUCUGUAAAUCAUUUUAUGAGUAGAAGUGAUAAAGAAUUAGAGUAUUUUAUGAAUUAUGAUAAAAAAUAUUUUGGAGAAACAUAUUUUACAAUCUUAAACAAUAUGUAUAUAGCUAAUCCGAAAUGUGAACAAUUUACUUAUAUGAGUGAAGAUGAGGAGGAUAGUGUAAGUGAUGAUGGGAAAGUAGAAAAAGGUGAGAAUAUAUAUAACAAAAAAAAAAGUGAGCAAAAUAAACAUAUAAAUAGUGAAAAUAUAAACAAUAACAAUAUUAAUACAACCAUCAACCGAAACAAACGAAAAUAUAAUAAUUUGGUACAAACAACGGAACAAAACAAUGAUGGUGGUGUUGGUGAUGGUGUUGGUGUUGGUGUUGGUGGUGGUGUUGGUGGUGGUGUUGGUGAUGGUGUUGGUGGUGGUGAUGGUGGUGGUGUUGGUGGUGGUGAUGAUGACCUAGGUAAUGAUAAAAAAAAAAAAAAAAAAAAAUAAAUAACUAACAUUGAUAUAAAACAUAAAAAGUUAAGAAAAAAAAACAAAAAUAAGUGUCUUAGCUUAUUACAAUUUGUUGUAAAGACACAAGAAUGGCUAAAUCUUCAAACACAGCAUGAGGAAUAUAUUAUUAAAAAAAAAUACAUCAGCAUGUAAAUACAUCAGCAUGUAAAUAUGGCAUAGAUAUAAAAAAAAACGCAAUUUUUAGCGUAUUUUCAAAAGCCUUUUUUUUUAUCUUAUUUUUAAAAGCAUUUUUUAGCCAAUUUUCAAACGCAUUUUUUAUCCUAUUUUCAAAUGCAUUUUUUAGCGUGUUUUUUUUUUUUUUUUGUUACCUAUUUUUUUUUUUUUUUUUUUUUUUUUUUUUUUUUUUUUUUUUUUUUUUGUGUUUAUAUAAAAUUUUUUUGAUUUGCCAAAGAGUGUAUACAAAAAAAAAGAAAAAAAAAAAUAAACACACACUGCUUAUAGAUGUAUACGCA